rnacentral:lncRNA from 1 species
UUUGUCUUUAUUUUUAGGAAAUAGAGCCGGCCAGCAGCAGUCAAGGUGAAGCGGGCAAGGCGGUCCAGUCGCGUUUCGUCGAGACCCCGUCAACCAGCCGGCCGGCACGCCUGCUUCGCCGCUCCCGUGAGCCCUGCGGAAGCGUUACAGGGACCGCGUGACGGAGCCUUUUCCACGUAAAGGGGCCGUGGGGGUGGCCUUCAGGAACGGGCCGAGGGCUUCCCGCGCGCCCUGCGACGACGGUGUCUGGUCCCGGCGUGGCCGUAUCGUGGGGCCUCAGGACACGGCCGUUCGCAGGACACCCUGACGGAGAGACGACAGCCUGGCGAUGGCAGGAACUUCCCGGAUAGCCAGGCGGCCUUCCUUGGCGCUUCGUGUGGAUCCUCUCCAGCGGGCAUGCGAGAGCUGAGUCGAAGGCUACGACCCGCGGAGGGGAUGAAAGCGGGGUGCCGGGACGGGACAUGUGACCUGGGAUUUUUGAGUCAGCUUUGGGGACGGGGAGGUCCAGGCUGUGGCCCCUUAGGCCGCAGGGUGGGAGAGCCUCACUUUUGUUCACAGUGCUGAGGUGUGCAGGACAGAGCAGCCUCGGGGCGCGUCGUGUCACUUGUCCGUCGUGCCUUCUGUGUCUUUUGUGCCUCUUGUUGUUGUACGUGCCUUGCCCUAUCUCUUCUGGGGGCUUACCAGAAACCCCAGCAUCACUUAUAGCAUCUCCAAUCUCUGGGCUCCUCGGCUCGGCAGCUCUCAGAGGCCUUGGAAUCGCGUCUCUUUUGACAAGCAUCCGAUCGGAUGUCUUUUAGACGUCUUGUUCCGAGCUGUGUCAACAGCCGUGCGCC